AUUGCCCUCAACUUCCUGGCCUUUGUUUUUUUAGACAAUCAGAAAGCUGCUCAUAGACAUCUGCACAUGGACAGAGUAAGGGAUGUGUUUGAACAGAAGCAGAGCUCUGGGACGUGUGGACAGACUUUCACUGUAAUGAUGGACAUCCGCUCAUGGACAGGUAAGGCUUAUAACUUGUGUUUGUGUUUUGUUGUGUACUAAACAUGUAGGUUACCAUCAUUUUCUUUUUGGAGGGUGACUCCUCUGGAAAGCAAAUGAUGGUAACCUAAACAGGUGGGGAAGGGAUGGCGGUUCAACAUUUUUAUACAGCUUUAAAAAAAAAUUCUGUCAAGAAGUAUAACCCCUGCUGGACAUCGUGCCG
rnacentral:lncRNA from 1 species